CAUACUUAGAAGGUGGAUGCUGAGAUCCUGUAGAUUUUGUAAUUUGUGUUUUCGGCUGUUACCACUCGGGCAUGAUUCUAGUCAUUUGAACUACCAGCAUUUAUAUUUUGUACAUAUACAAACUUCAACCAUGUGUGGGGGAUUCACAUGUUCCAAGAAUGCUCUUACAGCGCUCAACAUUAUGUAUAUUAUUGUCUCCUUCAUUCUCAUUGGUGUGGCCGCAUAUGGUCGUGUGUCGAGCAUCGUGACAAACAUCACCAUAUUUGGUGCGGUGAUUGCCUGUGGCGUGUUCCUGCUGCUCCUCUCCCUUGUUGGUCUCAUCGGAGCAGUCAAGCACCACCAAGUGCUGCUCUUCUUUUACAUGGUGAUCCUGUUCCUGCUCUUCGUGGUACAGUUCAGUGUUGCUUGUGCCUGUCUGGCCAUGACAGAGGACCAGGAACGGGAGUUGGCCAGCCAGGGCUGGAAGAAGGCCUCACCUGCCGUCAGGGCCCAAGCAGAGCGCUUGUUCCGAUGCUGUGGCUUUGAACGCAAUGCCUCGGACCCCACAGCAGAGCUACAGUGUGAGCAUGUGCCGACGUGCUGCCCACCACAGGAGAUUCCACCUAAUGGCACAUGUGAAUGCGAAGGAUGCUGGUCUGCUCUGCAUCAGGCUAUUCGCAAUGGGCUCAAGAUCACAGGGGGCAUAGGAAUGUUCUUCAGCUUCACGGAGUUCAUCGGGGUGUGGUUGACAGUGCGGUACCGCAACCAGAAGGAUCCUCGUGCUAACCCUAGCGCCUUUCUGUAACCACUAACCCCACUAUCCGGUGGCUUCUUGAAAUGGCUCUGUUGCAAGGGGGCUCUCUCUGGCACCACAAGUUGGUGGCUGUGUUUGUGGCUUACCGUUACCGGCUUCAAAAAGACCCUGAGGUGGAUCCUUACCUUCUGCUGGGUGGAGGAGCUCAUGUCACGUGACAAGCCACCCAUCUGUCUAUGUCUUCUCUGCAUAUUUUCUGACAUUCCCCGCACCCAACCACCUACACACACACACACAUGUGCACAUUGACACCAAAGCCUUUUCACAUUAUUGCUCUUGUAUGGUCUCUGGCUUGUCCUUUUGUUUCCUGUUGAUCUGUUUGUACAGAGUGCUAUUUCAAUUUUUUUUCUCCUCUCUCUCUGGACAUUACAAUGGUUGCUUUAUGGUUUAUCCGACUGGUCGUUUCAGAGCACCCUGUCAGGGCUGCAGAGGCCUUCUAAGAGAGCAACUAAGAUUUAUUGCGAGCAAAAGUGGGUGUUCUAAUGGAACAGUAAUGCCAGAUUACUGCUGCUAGACCUACUCAUUCUCAUAAUUCAGUUUUAACGCCUUCUAGUUUGUCAUCACAAUUUCACUGCAUGCCGAAUCUGAGCUCAUAAAUCCUAAUGCGUUUCUUAAGUGAGGGAAAUCUUGAUUUCGACGUCAUGUGUGGUCAUCCCACAAGAACACGAGCAUGUUGCCAUCUGUGCUUUAGAAAACAGCACUUUGCACAUGAUGUUUCCACUGAAGGCGAACAAUCAAAGAAACUCCUGCCGCUGCAUCCAUUCAGCUACGAAAGUUGAAGUUACCAUUUCCAAAAAAAAAUGUGUUUUACAGACUGCUAUAAGAUGCAAGAUGCUUCACUUGGCAAGUUAGAGGUUCUUUAGUGGGAAAAUAUGCAAAUAUAAUGGCAAUGUUUUGUGCUAGAUGUGCAUUUUAGCUUUCUUUAAUGAGCCUAUAGAUUUCACACUGGGGUAGCAAAUAGUGUGAGGCUAAUUUGGCAUGUUCUAACCUCGCAUACAAGAACUCCUAACUGCAAUUUGAAUGUUUUUCUUCAAACAAAAUAGUUCAGUCUAUAAGAGGUUAAAGCGCUCGCUCACAACUUUCAUAGCACUGCCAAAGUGCUUUGAGAUGACCAUUCAAAUGUACUGUUAUAAUGGGCUUUCCAAGAGAAGUGAGGUAGACCUGUAAAGGGACAUGGUAAAACAGAAAUUGAUUAAAUUUCCUUGCAGUGUUGCAAGAUUAGCGGCGACAUGGAGUCACAUUUUGUAAUGACUCUUUUUUUGUCAGUCCAUUCCUCUUGUUUUUUUUUUGUUUUGUUUUUUUCUGGCUGGUGCGUGUCAUUGCAUGCCAUGUCUCACUGCUCUCAGCCACUCGGCAUGAUUGUCAUUGGCGCAAGCACACAGUGACAUGCUGUCUUUGUCGAGAUUGGCUGCUGGGCGUGAGGGAUGAAAAGAACAGAAUACAUAGUUACAAAAUACAGCCCCUGCCGACUUGUAAGGACGUUCUGAUACCUUUGUUACACGGAUGGCUCUUACUACCCCCUGAGGUAACCAUAGUUUUAGCCAGCCACGAUAACUUUGUGGUACUGUGCUUGGCCACCUUAGUUGUGGUCUUGAUCAGCAAAAUAGAAUAUUGGAGGUGUACAGUGGAAUUUAAUUUCCAGCACCCUUGAAAAGUGGAUAUUACUGCAGCUUUAAAUAAUGUUUUCAUUAGAAUCGACAGUGGAACCAUGACGGAAACUGUAAGAAGGGGAACUGAGGGGCUCAAUUUUUCAUUAGACUCGACCACAUGAAGUCUAUUGCCUUCAUGUGGUUGUGCUGAUGCAUGCAGGCUUUGCGAGUGCAACAGCAGCCAACUGUGGUUUGCAGUAACUGAAGUUAAGCCCAGUUACUUGUGGCUAAAGUAAACUUCACUUGCACUGCCCGUGUAAAAAGGGUGUCAAAGGGCAGUUUUGGAAAUUUUGUAGAUGAGAGAGCAUUGCCAAGUUGGAUAAGCUGUCUCAAAAUGUGUGGUGUUCUUGCUCAAUUUCCUGACACUCAGCACACACCUUUACAUUCAGCUGCUGAUGCAUGGCAUACAUGCUUGGGAUUUCACCAACAAUGUUAGGUGUGGCAUUGUAGUACGUAUUGAGCGCAAAAAGGCUUGAAUGGUGGUGUUUCAGAAUGGUAUUGGUGAUGGUACGAUAGUGCUGGUGUCAAGGCUCAUGUAAUUGAAUAGGACAAUUUUAAGGACAUUUCUAAAUUUCUUGAGCUGCAGAGUGUCGCAUGCUUUUAGUCAUCUGCUAGCUGCUGCAGGUUUAUAGGUGCAGAUAAGACAUGAAGAGGAAAUAAAUUUUGCCAUCUAAAGCAUGAUCUUUGUCAGUGUUUCGUUGAGAUUAAGUAGGCAAAGUGAUUGGCCUUGUGUCCAAACCUCUCACCUGAUGUUCCAUGUACCUAACCAAGUCUCUUUCUCAUCCAGCACACAUUCCAUGAAACAGCAACUGCUCAUAGCAAUGCAUAGUUGGCUUAAGUACCAGCAUCUCAGCCAUCUUCAUGACAUUUUUGACAGAGGCUCCACUGGUGCACAUAUUCUUCAGUUACACGCAUGUAGAAAUUAGUACUUGCAGUUUUUGCAGUAAUGCUACAUGCAGUAAAAGCUCGUUAAUUCGAAUUCCACAGGCAUGCUACGAAGAUUCGAAUUAUACACAAUUCGAACCAAUGAAAGUCAGAAAAAAAUCACUUGGUUAAGGCGUAUAUAUAGUCCGACGUAGCCUCAGCGCGCGCACACGCUACGUUACGUUACGUUAGCGAGAACACCGUCUAUAGUUCGAAGCACUGGCAAAACCGACGUAACUGGACGUGGCCCGACAUGCCUGACAUAGAGAUGGCUCAUGCUCCAUCCAUGCGUUUGUCGCGCCGACUGUGCCGACUCACAUUGCAUGGCGCAGAGAAAAAAGGUGCCCGCGCUGCUUCAUCGACGGUCGCAGGCAGCCGUUCAAAGCGGCUCGCAGGUUGGGGAUCGUUCUGUGCAUGGUCCGAAAAAAAAAAAAACAGCCGACGGCGCGCGCAUCGAAGUCUAGAGGGGACGGCAUUUCGGCUGGCGAAGCGUGAUUGGCCAUACGCAACAUGCGCUGAAGCGCGCCGCAGGAACAAGAGCUGCGCUCUAAAAUGCACUCUCGAAAUUCAUCACAACCUGCUGCGAUAUUGGUCUCCGUUGUACUUUCGUAGGUGCACCAGCUGCACACUGCUGAGUUCCACUAUACACGUAGGUGGCACACAAACACGCAUCCCAGCGAUCCUGUCCUUUGAAUAAUAGCCACGAAUCUCAAAAGCUAUGCUUUUGGUGCUGCGAGCGCCGCUAAACGUCACGGCCGCCGUGUUAUAGUCAUUACCUGGUGCUGCUUCUCGGCAGAACACCUUGUUAAUAAAGAGCAUACCCUCCAAGAUGUGACAUGAAAAAAGAAAAAAAGACGCAGUUUUGCCUGCAAGGCGGAGCAUCGAUUGUGACAGCAAAUUAGCAGACAGCCAUAUCAAGUAAGGAUAGUACUUUUAUUGGCUGUAUCAACUUGUAAACAUUUGCUUGCGAACUAAAAUACUAAGCCUGAUGUCAGCGUGUACAGCGAGCAUGAACACAUCCCAUACGAUUACUACAGACACUCGCUGUCAAAACACUGGCAUGAGGAAACGUAGCAACAGCAGCGAGCGAAGUGAUAUUCAUGCUAUCUAUCGCUGAAACGCGAAUUGAGCACCGAGAACACACAGCGCGCACACAGCUACGAGCCGCCAACGCAGCUAGACCAUGCUAGACCGGCUAGACUCUGCCCCCAACGCAGAUCGCUCUCAAGAUAAGGCCGCGCGACCACACGCAGCCGCCACGUGCGCAGUUGCAGCCGGAGAGAACCCCCCCCUUGCGCCUCGCAACGGUGGGUGCCUCGCGCGCCGCGAGAGAAGACAGUGAGCUUCCUCUUCGCAUUCGUCCCUUUCGUGCAGGCGAGAUUGAGCAUUGGCUCCCUCGGCUCCCCUCGCACGCUUUUUUUACUCGUACAUACAGCGUAGGGCGCGCGGCGACGGUGAUGUCAACGGCAGAGAUGUGCUUGGAGUAUCCAUAAAUUGCUCCCGCAAUUAGAAAAUACAUAGAUAAAAAACACAGCGCCGUGUUCGCGUCUUUGAAAGUCUUGAAAAAGGCAGAGAACCGACCUGUAACAGACGGCCGCACAUGGAAAGAGCAAAGCUGCACGGUGACGAUCAUCGCCAAUGUGCCCCCGCACACUAGCAUUCUCCCCGUUCACGAUGGCGCGGAGUUCAAAAUAUCUGUGGUGGCGUGGAUUUCAGUGUGAAUUAGCGGGAUGCAUUACAUAUUGCUUUCAAUACACUGUUAGAUGGACCGCGGUGGCUACUUGGAAUUAUCCAAAAUUUUGAAUUAACGAGCUUUUACUGUAUUGUGGCAACAUACAAUUGAAAAAACAGUUGGUGAGUGAGAAAGAACAGACAGAUAAGUGCAUACCUUAUAAAAGGCCUCACUCGCAUUUCUUUUUUGUACAUGUAAUUUCUGUUGCUCUAUUGUGUUGUCUCUUUGCAUUAUUGAUUUUUGAGGCUGCUCAAGAAGCUUUAGGUGAGUCUUCUAGACCAUUUUUUAUCUUUAUUUCUUUUGGUGGUAUAGAGUUUAUGAGUGGCAACAUUUCUUGCCUUCGUCUGCAGAAUUCUUGCCCUUUUGGAAUUAAUGCUGCUGCACGUGGCUAAAACCCUCAUCACAUGCCCCUUUUCAAAGAGCGUUCAAAUAGAAGACAAAAUCUGGAAGCCCUGUUGGUUCCCUUCCAUGACCUUGUACAAAGGAGCCAAUAAGGUCGGCUGAUUUCAGUUGUCUUUGAAAGUAGAUAACAGGACUAUAAGAACAAGCGAGGUAUCCUGGUGUGUGAAAAGAAAAAAAUUAAUGUUGCACAAGUUUUGCAUUGAGAAGCAAUGUAAAUGCAAGCACAUAGUAAUCGGCAUCCCAAUGUAAAGGAGUGCACUUAACGAAUUAUCUGUGUCUAGGUUUGGCAUAUUCGGCUGGGCAUUGAAGAGUCGUAGUCAGGUUGUGUCCAAAUGUGUAACAGCAUGCCGUCUGACAUAGUGUAAACACUGUAGUGUUUAUUGAUUAAUGUGUACUUUUGCACAUGAUCGUAUUAGUGCAAUAUCUUGUAGCAUGCAAUCAUGUGCCAGUUGUACAUGCUUGUAUCACUCCUUGGCAAAUGACUGUAAUGUGCUAGAAUGGCUUACAAACACUGCACAAGAUUUUAAGGGCAUUGAAUAUCAGUAGCCAGUUUGCCCAAUGAGCAGACUUAAUUUCCUGUGGUCAAAUUCAAGAAAUCUCCAUAUAUAACUAGGGCAGACUCGGUGCAAGAGAUGAAAAUGACAGCAGUGCUUUUUUGUGGCACUAAAUAUUUUAACUAGAAUAUGCUGCAAGCAUUAUGGUAGUGGAAGCUUUAGAAAAAAUAUUUUAGUAACUGGAGACUCUCUAGCAACACGUGGCACGCACAUACAGAAGGCCCACUUGUUUUGUCAGGUGUUGCAGUUGUUGCAAAGCAUUUUCCAAAAAUGGGAUUUAAGGCAUGUGCCAUUAAUGAGCACUGCUGCUAUUUUAUCUCUGUGUAAGCCCACCUCAGAAAAUGCAUGUUUUGACUUGUAGUGUUUCAUUUUCAUGGACUCUUUCUCCCUGCUGAGCAUAUGUUCCAGUUUUUAAUCACUGACUGCUUUGUGUUCUUGUAUUCUUUUAUUAUCUUGCUUUCAAGUGGUUGCCAAGGUAAUGAUAUAUAGCAUCUCCUUUUUGGCUAUGCCUUGAGCAUUCCUUGUAAAGUGUAGUUUUUCACCCUGAAUUUUCAACAACCAAGGAGGUUUAGUGUACUUCAUGUUUACCUCCCUAUGUCAUGCUUAUGUUGCUGCUGUAUUAAAGUCUGCUUCAACUUGUAUUUUGUACACAUCAGCCAAACUUGGUGGUUUCUUUUUUUCUGCAUUUACUUGCCCGCAAUUUUUAGAGUGGAGUUAGAUAAAGUGUAUGUACAUUGUAAAGCUAAAAGUGGAAAUAUAAUAUUUAGGAAAUAAAUUUUUUUGAAGAUUUGUUUUCUUGUUUUAUAAUAAAUAUGUUUCAGUGCAUUCA